CCUACGGGUGGCAGCAGUGAGGAAUAUUGGUCAAUGGGCGAGAGCCUGAACCAGCCAAGUCGCGUGAAGGAUGACGGCCCUACGGGUUGUAAACUUCUUUUGUCAGGGAGCAAUUGGGUCCACGCGUGGGCUUAGCGAGAGUACCUGAAGUAAACGCAUCGGCUAACCCCGUGCCAGCAGCCGCGGUAAUACGGGGGAUGCGAGCGUUAUCCGGAUUUAUUGGGUUUAAAGGGUGCGCAGCCGGAAUAACAAGUCAGGAGUAAAGAUUCGGGGCUCAACCCCGUCGUGCCGUUGAAACUGAUGUUCUUGAGUGGGCGAGAAGUAAGCGGAAUGCGUGGUGUAGCGGUGAAAUGCAUAGAUAUCACGCAGAACUCCGAUUGCGAAGGCAGCAUACCGGCGCCCAACUGACGCUGAAGCACGAAAGCGUGGGUAUCGAACAGGAUUAGAUACCCGUGUAGUC
rnacentral:rRNA from 1 species